ACCUUUAAAAAUUUUAAUACUGGGGAC
rnacentral:piRNA from 1 species